ensembl:lncRNA
CAGGGGAGAGGCAGGAUGGCCAUGUAGUAGUAGGGGAUCAGGGGAUCAGGGGAGGGGCAGGAUGGCCAUGUAGUAGUAGGGGGUCAGGGGAUCAAGGGAGAGGCAGGAUGGCCAUUUAGUAGUAGAGGGUCAGGGGAUCAGGGGAGGGGCAGGAUGGCCAAGCCAUGUAGUAAAAGGGGGUCAGGGGAUCAGGGGAGGUGCAGGAUGGCCAUGUAGUAGUAGGGGAUCAGGGGAUCAGGGGAGAGGCAGGAUGGCCAUGUAGUAGUAGGGGGUCAGGGGAUCAGGGGAGGGGCAGGAUGGCCAUGUAGUAGUAGGGUAGUAGGGGAUCAGGGGUCAGGGGAUGGGCAGGAUGGCCAUGCCAUGUAGUAGGAUUUCAGUGGAUCAGGGGGUCAGCGUAGGGGCAGGAUGGCCAUG